UCCACAGUAGCUCAGUGGUAGAGCUAUCGGCUGUUAACCGAUCGGUCGUAGGGUCGAGUCCUACCUGUGGAGCCA
rnacentral:tRNA from 1 species